rnacentral:rRNA from 1 species
UGCAAGUCGAACGAGAAAGUACCUUCGGGUGCGAGUAGAGUGGCGGACGGGUGUUUUAAUGCAUGGGAAUCUACCUAGUAGUGGGGGACAACCCGGGGAAACUCGGGCUAAUACCGCAUACGCCCUACGGGGGAAAGGCUUCGGCCGCUAUUGGAUGAGCCCAUGUCGGAUUACGCUUGUUGGUGGGGUAAAGGCCUACCAAGGCUUCGAUCCGUAGCUGGUCUGAGAGGACGAUCAGCCACACUGGGACUGAGACACGGCCCAGACUCCUACGGGAGGCAGCAGUGGGGAAUAUUGGACAAUGGGCGAAAGCCUGAUCCAGCAAUGCCGCGUGUGUGAAGAAGGCCUGCGGGUUGUAAAGCACUUUCAGCUGGGAAGAUAAUGACGGUACCAGCAGAAGAAGCACCGGCUAACUCUGUGCCAGCAGCCGCGGUAAUACAGAGGGUGCUAGCGUUAAUCGGAAUUACUGGGCGUAAAGCGCGCGUAGGCGGUUUGUUAAGUCGGAUGUGAAAGCCCCGGGCUCAACCUGGGAAUUGCAUUCGAUACUGGCAGGCUAGAGUAUGGUAGAGGGAAGUGGAAUUCCAGGUGUAGCGGUGAAAUGCGUAGAUAUCUGGAAGAACACCGGUGGCGAAGGCGACUUCCUGGACCAAUACUGACGCUGAGGUGCGAAAGCGUGGGGAGCGAACAGGAUUAGAUACCCUGGUAGUCCACGCCGUAA